rnacentral:rRNA from 1 species
GAUGAACGCUAGCGGCAGGCUUAAUACAUGCAAGUUGAGGGGCAGCAUGAUAUACGCGAGUAUAUUGAUGGCGACCGGCGGACGGGUGAGUAAUAGGUAGGAGACCUACCUCAUACAGGGGGAUAGCAUAGAGAAAUCUGUGGUAAUACCCCAUGAGGUUAUAUGAAUAGAGGCAUAUAAUCAAAGCAUAAGCGAUUAUGCGGUAUGAGAGGGGCCUACUGACCAUUAGCUAGUUGGUGAGGUAAGGGCUCACCAAGGCGAAGAUGGUUAGGGGUUUUGAGAGAGAGACCCCCCACAUUGGAACUGAGAGACGGUCCAGACUCCUACGGGAGGCAGCAGUCGAGAAUAGUCUACAAUGGCCGGAAGGCUGAUAGUGCGACGCCGCGUGAACGAGGGACCCUUCGGGGUUAAAGUUCUUUUCUAUACGAGCAGUGCUAUAUAUAUGGAUAGUAUAUAUAGAGGGAUAGUAGUAUAGGAA